rnacentral:rRNA from 1 species
AUUGAACGCUGGCGGCAGGCCUAACACAUGCAAGUCGAACGGUAACAGGAAACAGCUUGCUGUUUCGCUGACGAGUGGCGGACGGGUGAGUAAUGUCUGGGAAACUGCCUGAUGGAGGGGGAUAACUACUGGAAACGGUAGCUAAUACCGCAUAACGUCGCAAGACCAAAGAGGGGGACCUUCGGGCCUCUUGCCAUCGGAUGUGCCCAGAUGGGAUUCGCUAGUAGGUGGGGUAACGGCUCACCUAGGCGACGAUCCGUAGCUGGUCUGAGCGGAUGACCAGCCACACUGGAACUGAGACACGGGCCAGACUCCUACGGGAGGAAGCAGUGGGGAAUAUUGCACAAUGGGCGCAAGCCUGAUGCAGCCAUGUCGCGUGUAUGAAGGAGGCCUUCGGGUUGUAAAGUACUUUCAGCGGGGAGGAAGGGAGUAAAGUUAAUACCUUUGCUCAUUGACAUUACCCGCAGAAGAAGCACCGGCUAACUCCGUGCCAGCCGCCGCAGUAA